ensembl:Y_RNA Y_RNA Y RNA
GGCUGGUCCGAGUGCAGUGCUGUUUACAGCUAAUUGAUCACAACCAGUUACAGAUUUCUUUGUUCCUUCUCCACUCCUACUGCUUCACUUGACUAGCCUAAA